rnacentral:rRNA from 1 species
UACGUAGGGAGCGAGCGUUGUCCGGAUUCAUUGGGCGUAAAGAGCUCGUAGGCGGCUUGGUAAGUCGGAUGUGAAACCUCCAGGCUCAACCUGGAGUCGCCAUCCGAUACUGCCAUGGCUAGAGUCCGGUAGGGGCCCACGGAAUUCCUGGUGUAGCGGUGAAAUGCGCAGAUAUCAGGAGGAACACCGGUGGCGAAGGCGGGUCUCUGGGCCGAUAUUGACGCUGAGGAGCGAAAGCGUGGGGAGCGAACAGG